GCACGCCCUGCCCUGCUAAAGUCAGCUCAGUUGCCAGGCUGCAGAGAAUCCAGUCACCAAUCUAUGCAGGCCCACACGUUGCCUGAGGGCUUGUUGUUAGGUGGGGCCAGUCUCUAGGGUGGGCUGCCUGCCCUGGCUGAGCUGGAUUAAAUCGGUGCUCUAGUGGGUGGGGCAGACCCUGGGCUAGCAGGCCCCAGGGAGAACUCCAAUGGCGUCUGUGUCAGCACACUCACACCAGGCCACAACAAUGGGCGCCGCCAAUGUCCCAGUCCCUGGAGAGGUCUCACCUCUCACCGAGAUGCACUCGGGGCCUAUUAGUGGCUGAGUCAAUGAGAUGCCCAACAGAAUCUGGCUGCACACAAACAAGAACCUGGGCUGAUAGAUCCCACUCCACCCAUCUGGAUGUUCAUAGAAACCUUAGAGGGGGCCUUGGAUCCUAAUCGGAUAUGGAAUUUCAGGUAGAAUGAUUAUGAGUUGAAGAAGAUGGGAAGAGCUAGAAGACCUUUAAAGCCCUAUCUUGUCAUCUAUGAUGCAUUGCCUUCAAAAUAACUUAUUGAGUAGUUCUCUACUUGCCCCAAAAAGUUAAUAAAACUUUUAUUAAUA